rnacentral:rRNA from 1 species
AUGCUGCUAUGUGGUUCUGACCUGCUCGAGUCAUUCAGCAAGCCAGGGGUAUGGAUUCCAGAUCAGUCAAAGGAAGAAGUCGAACCUGAAGAAGUCCUCGGAAGAAUCACAGCUGCGUGUGCCCGGCUGGUUCAGGGGACGCGACAGGCGCUGGCGCCCUGCCCCGGCGGGCGUGUGCGCGGCGGCGUGGGUGCCAGUGCAGGGUGGGCCCGGCGGUGCGGGUGCCGGGGCAGGCUCUCUCCUGGGCACUGGCGAUCUCGCAGGAUGGAUGCCACGCUGCGAGCGGCAACAAUCGGCGAUGGCGAUCGUGCAUGGAGGUGA